UGGAAAGAAAUAGGAAUGGAUGGAU
rnacentral:piRNA from 1 species